UAGUGGCGGACGGGUGAGUAACGCGUGAGAAUCUAGCUUCAGAAUGGGGACAACAGAGGGAAACCGCUGCUAAUACCCGAUGUGCCGAAAGGUGAAAGAUUUAUCGUCUGAAGAUGAGCUCGCGUCCGAUUAGCUAGUUGGUAGGGUAAAAGCCUACCAAGGCGACGAUCGGUAGCUGGUCUGAGAGGAUGACCAGCCACACUGGGACUGAGACACGGCCCAGACUCCUACGGGAGGCAGCAGUGGGGAAUUUUCCGCAAUGGGCGAAAGCCUGACGGAGCAAGACCGCGUGAGGGAGGAAGGCUCUUGGGUUGUAAACCUCUUUUCUCUGGGAAGAAGCUCUGACGGUACCAGAGGAAUCAGCAUCGGCUAACUCCGUGCCAGCAGCCGCGGUAAUACGGAGGAUGCAAGCGUUAUCCGGAAUUAUUGGGCGUAAAGCGUCCGUAGGUGGCAAUUCAAGUCUGCCGUUAAAACCAGUGGCUUAACUACUGAGGGGCGGUGGAAACUGAAUAGCUAGAGUGUGGUAGGGGUAGAGGGAAUUCCCAGUGUAGCGGUGAAAUGCGUAGAGAUUGGGAAGAACACCGGUGGCGAAAGCGCUCUGCUGGACCACAACUGACACUCACAGGACGAAAGCUAGGGGAGCGAAAGGGAUUAGAUACCCCUGUAGUCCU
rnacentral:rRNA from 1 species